rnacentral:rRNA from 1 species
GAUGAACGCUGGCGGCGUGCUUAACACAUGUAAGUCGAACGGUGAAGCCAAGCUUGCUUGGUGGAUCAGUGGCGAACGGGUGAGUAAUACGUUAGCAACCUGCCCUGGACUCUGGGAUAAGCGCUGGAAACGGCGUCUAAUACUGGAUAUGAGCCUCUUCCGCAUGGUGGGGGUUGGAAAGAUUUUUUGGUCUGGGAUGGGCUCGCGGCCUAUCAGCUUGUUGGUGAGGUAAUGGCACACCAAGGCGUCGACGGGUAGCGGGCCUGAGAGGGUGACCGGACACACUGGGACUGAGACACGGCCCAGACUCCUACGGGAGGCAGCGGUGGAGAAUAUUACACAAUGGGCGAAAGCCUGAUGCAGCAACGCCGCGUGAGGGAAGACGGCCUGCGGGUUGUAAACCUCAUUUAGCAGGGAAGAAGCGAAAGUGACGGUACCUGCAGAAAAAGCGCCGGCUAACUACGUG